UCUGUCUUAUAGUAAUAUUUUGAAAUUAAUUUUUUAGUUAAAAAGCUAAAAUUGACCUUAAAGACAAGAAGACCCUAUUAAGCUUCACAAUUUUAUAUUAUUUUCAAACUAAUAAAAUAAUUGUUCUGCUGGGGCAGCAAAUAAAUAAAUAUUAUCUACAUAUUGUGAUAAAUCGAUCUAGAAAAAUCAAUAAUUUAUUAAAUAAUAAUAAGUUACUAUAGGGAUAACAGCAUAAUUUUUUUAAAGAGUUCUCAUCAACAAAAAAGUUUGUGACCUCGAUGUUGGAUU
rnacentral:rRNA from 1 species